ACCAGAUUAGACAAAGAAAAGCAAGCCUCUGCACAGGGGUUUGGAGCAAGGUGUUGACCAAAAUUUGGAUGUCAGAACUCAAGCAGGGAGAAGAGGUUAUCCCUGGGGGAUGGUGUGGGGACUAGGGAAUGGUCACCCAGCAUGAGAUGUCAGAGUCUAAGUAGGGUGAGAAGGGUGUCCAUGUGGGCCAUGUGGGUGGAUGAGUGGGCAAGGAGUGGUUGUCCAGCCUAGGGUGUCAGAUUUCACGUGGCUUAGAGAGGGCAUCUGCCAAGGAUGGGAGUGGGAGCUGAGACGAGGUUGAAUUAUUUAAGUGAAUGUGUUAAGAAUAAUGUGACCCAUGUCUCUCACUGGCAGGCAAAAGAGUCACAAAAAAGAAAAAAAAUAGCUGUAGUGUUGGAUUGGAAUUAUAAAUAUUGGGGCUAGAGUGCAGUGGUGCGAUCUCGGCUCACUACAACUCCUACCUCCUGAGUUCAAGCGAUUCUCCUGCCUCAGCCUCCCGAGUAGCCAGGACUACAGUGUCGAGGUCAUGAAAGCCACUGAAAGACUGAGAACUGUUCCAGAAAGGAGACUAGAGAGACAUGGCAGCCAAAUGCUCCACAUAAUCCUGUCCUGGAUUCUUCUCCUACAAAGGAAGGGGUCUGAGGAUUAGGUGGUAGUACUGAAUCAAGGAACUAUCAUCUCCUAUUGUGCUGUAGGCAAACUUGAGUGACAUGGUGGAAGCCACCAGAGAGAAUAUCUGAAGCAAUUCAUUAAAAUCUUGGCAGCCAGACCCCAGCUCCCACUUUCCCUGAAAGCUCCCUUUAAUGAAGCUGAACGCUGUCCCAGCAAUUCCCUCCACAGAAGACCUACUGUCACCACCUCUGGAGGGGCAAUUCCUGGAGGAACCAAGUCAGCCAAUCGAAGGUCCUGAAUAAGCAAAAACUAAGUAAAUAAAUUACCAUCUCGAA
rnacentral:lncRNA from 1 species